UACGGGGGGAGCAAGCGUUGUUCGGAUUUACUGGGCGUAAAGGGCGCGUAGGCGGUCAGCACAAGUCAGUUGUGAAAUCUCCGGGCUUAACUCGGAAAGGUCAACUGAUACUGUGCGACUAGAGUGCAGAAGGGGCAAUCGGAAUUCUUGGUGUAGCGGUGAAAUGCGUAGAUAUCAAGAGGAACACCUGAGGUGAAGACGGGUUGCUGGGCUGACACGUGACGCUGAGGCGCGAAAGCCAGGGAGCAAACGGG
rnacentral:rRNA from 1 species